rnacentral:rRNA from 1 species
AAUGAACGUUGGCGGCAUGGAUUAGGCAUGCAAGUCGGGGGAAUCCCAGCAAUGGGGGAACCGGCGUAAGGGGCAGUAAGGCAUGGGUACCUACCUUGGGGUUCGGGAUAGCCAUCAGACAUGGUGGGUAAUACCGGAUGACGUCGUGAGACCAAAGAUUCAUCGCCCUUAGAGGGGCCAAUGUGAUAUUAGCUAGUUGGUGGUGUAACGGCCCACCAAGGCGAAGAUGUCUAGCGGGUGUGAGAGCACGACCCGCGCCACUCGCACUGAGACACUGGCGAGACACCUACGGGUGGCUGCAGUCGAGGAUCUUCGGCAAUGAGCGCAAGCUUGACCGAGCGAUGCCGCGUGAGCGAUGAAGGCCUUCGGGUUGUAAAGCUCUUUAGUGGGGGAGAAAAGCCGCAAGGUGUGAUCUAUCCCAAAAAUAAGCACGGGCUAAGUUCGUGCCAGCCGCCGCAGUAA